UCAUAGCAAAGUAUCUUGUACUGUUUAUCGAAAACUGUGUUUUUGUAAACAAACUCGCGCGCUCGCAUCCCGCCCCGCCACCGCCACCCGCACCCGAGCCGGCGUCCGGCUUGGCGGCCAUUGUGUUUUUGACCAGCGAGCGAGCGCAGUAUUGCAGAUUGAAUUUGAAGUGUUUUCGCCUUUUGGGUUAUUAUUACAAAACCAGUGACGAGAUGGAUGAUGACAUUGACCAAGACGUCCCUCAGUUAUUAAAGCAGUGGGGUUUACCCCAAUAUAUUCAUACUUUUCAAGCCGUUGAAAAAUCUACUCUUAAAAUCGAAUGAAGGACAAGGCCUGCUAAAUUUAUAUUCAGAACAAGGCAAAUUAUCAAAUAAUGGGCGAAGAAAAGUUUGCAAUAUAAUAAUAAAAGACCUAAUGCAAUCAGACCCAAAUAAAAGAAUAGACAGUUCUCUACUUCUUACAAAAGCACAAGAAAUAACUGAAGUAUUCAAAAAGGAAAAUAUAAGUACUUACUUUAUUCCAUACAUUAAUGAUACUAAACUUAAAAUAAAAAGAUGUGCAAAAGGCAAAUUAUAUGACUGUCUACAAAACAGGCGCCGCGAAUUAAGGAGGCUAAGGUUAUUAAAAAGAAAAAUGGCAGCAACAUCAACAAUAACAGCAACGAGCCAGAAGUCGUCGAAGAAGAUGGUGGUGCAGAUGAAGAUAUCCAGUGGCUCCAAAACUGUACAGAACCCUGGCAUUUAGUGAUAGAGAAGUGGCAAAAAUCUUCCAAAAAUAGAUUGAAGGAAAUAGAGACUUCAGAAAUGACCAUCGGAGCAUACAUUAAUAAAUAUCCAGUGUUAAAAACGCCACGCGGGCAUGAGCUUCUUAUUGAAGAUUUAAGAAGGGCCCUAUUAGAGCCUGUUCACACUAGCAUUAAUAUCGCCGCGAGCACGCGGCGAGCAAGCUGCGAUAUCACACACAUAUAAAGUUUGCUCGCGGCGAUAUUAUUGCGAUAAAAUAAUCGCCGCGAUACCGCGACGACCCGCGGCGAGCUCGUUGCGUGCACGCCGCGAUCUCGCAUCGCCGAAAAGAAUCGCUAGUGUGAACAGGCUCUAAUAGGGUCCCAUACUUUACAAGUUGAAUGUAGAAAUGAUAAGUAUAAGGGACGUCGACGCUGAAAAGACGCCUGAACGGGUAGCAUGAUCGCGCGAAAAGUGAUAAAACAUCUCCCUAUCGCACUAUUAGUAAGUGCGAUAGGGACGGAUGUUUUAUCGCGCGAUCAUGCUACCAAUGCAGAUGUGAGGGGCCGUAAUGUGUAAGUGUAAUUUCUACGGACCAAUGAUUGUGAUGAUUAUAUUAAAAUAAAUGUCAUUUUUCUCUGUA